AUAAGCAUUAUACGGCGAAACUGCGAAUGGCUUAUUAUAUAAGUUAUCGUUUAUUUGAUAGCACAUUACUACUUGGAUAACCGUGGUAAUUCUAGAGCUAAUACAUGCUAAAAAUCCCGACUUCGGAAGGGAUGUAUUUAUUAGAUUAAAAACCAAUGCCCUCUGGGCUCUCUGGUGAAUCAUGAUAACUGCUCGAAUCGCAGGGCCUCGUGCCGGCGAUGGUUCAUUCAAAUUUCUUCCCUAUCAACUUUCGAUGUUUGGGUAUUGGCCAAACAUGGUUACAACGGGUAACGGAGGGUUAGGGCUCGACCCCGGAGAAGGAGCCUGAGAGACGGCUACUACAUCCAAGGAAGGCAGCAGGCGCGCAAAUUACCCAAUCCCGACACGGGGAGGUAGUGACAAUAAAUACUGAUACAGGGCUCUUUCGGGUCUUGUAAUUGGAAUGAGUACAAUUUAAAUCCCUUAACGAGGAACAAUUGGAGGGCAAGUCUGUGC
rnacentral:rRNA from 2 species